rnacentral:rRNA from 1 species
GACGAACGCUGGCGGCGUGCUUAACACAUGCAAGUCGAACGGAAAGGCCCUGCUUUUGUGGGGUGCUCGAGUGGCGAACGGGUGAGUAACACGUGAGUAACCUGCCCUUGACUUUGGGAUAACUUCAGGAAACUGGGGCUAAUACCGGAUAGGAGCUCCUGCUGCAUGGUGGGGGUUGGAAAGUUUCGGCGGUUGGGGAUGGACUCGCGGCUUAUCAGCUCGUUGGUGGGGUAGUGGCCUACCAAGGCUUUGACGGGUAGCCGGCCUGAGAGGGUGACCGGCCACAUUGGGACUGAGAUACGGCCCAGACUCCUACGGGAGGCAGCAGUGGGGAAUAUUGCACAAUGGGCGGAAGCCUGAUGCAGCAACGCCGCGUGCGGGAUGACGGCCUUCGGGUUGUAAACCGCUUUCGCCUGUGACGAAGCGUGAGUGACGGUAAUGGGUAAAGAAGCACCGGCUAACUACGUGCCAGCAGCCGCGGUGAUACGUAGGGUGCGAGCGUUGUCCGGAUUUAUUGGGCGUAAAGGGCUCGUAGGUGGUUGAUCGCGUCGGAAGUGUAGUCUUGGGGCUUAACCCUGAGCGUGCUUUCGAUACGGGUUGACUUGAGGAAGGUAGGGGAGAAUGGAAUUCCUGGUGGAGCGGUGGAAUGCGCAGAUAUCAGGAGGAACACCAGUGGCGAAGGCGGUUCUCUGGGCCUUUCCUGACGCUGAGGAGCGAAAGCGUGGGGAGCGAACAGGCUUAGAUACCCUGGUAGUCCACGCUGUAAACGGUGGGUACUAGGUGUGGGGUCCAUUCCACGGGUUCCGUGCCGUAGCUAACGCUUUAAGUACCCCGCCUGGGGAGUACGGCCGCAAGGCUAAAACUCAAAGGAAUUGACGGGGCCCCGCACAAGCGGCGGAGCAUGCGGAUUAAUUCGAUGCAACGCGUAGAACCUUACCUGGGUUUGACAUGGAUCGGGAGUGCUCAGAGAUGGGUGUGCCUCUUUUGGGGUCGGUUCACAGGUGGUGCAUGGCUGUCGUCAGCUCGUGUCGUGAGAUGUUGGGUUAAGUCCCGCAACGAGCGCAACCCUUGUUCACUGUUGCCAGCACGUUAUGGUGGGGACUCAGUGGAGACCGCCGGGGUCAACUCGGAGGAAGGUGGGGAUGACGUCAAGUCAUCAUGCCCCUUAUGUCCAGGGCUUCACGCAUGCUACAAUGGCUGGUACAGAGAGUGGCGAGCCUGUGAGGGUGAGCGAAUCUCGGAAAGCCGGUCUCAGUUCGGAUUGGGGUCUGCAACUCGACCUCAUGAAGUCGGAGUCGCUAGUAAUCGCAGAUCAGCAACGCUGCGGUGAAUACGUUCCCGGGGCU